CACACUGAGGAUUGACAGGCAAUAUUNAUACAUAAACUUUUAUUCUUCGGGGUAUUUGUUUUGUGUAUUAUGUUAAAUAUGCUAGUCCUUUCAUGAUUAUGUGAUAGGUGGUGCAUGGCCGUUCUUAGUUCGUGGAGUGAUCUGCCUGCUUAAUUGCGUUUCACUAAGGGCUUAUAAAUUACGUGUGCUGUAGGUACUUUGACCCCUACGUUGAAAUAUACGUAGUGCGUGUCUUAGUUUGCUUAACUCACACAAUUAAGUCCUGAAAGCAACGAACGUGACCG
rnacentral:rRNA from 1 species